CAGCCAGGAAAGACGGAUGUCCUGGGGAGGUAGAGGGGGUGGUCUGAGUUUGGAUAUGGACUGAAAAACCAAGGGGAGAGGGCGACAAGAUUUUCCAAAUAUCUUAUUUUUACAAUCAUCACUUCCUAAGCUGAUGCAACUGACUCAGCAGACGUUCAGGAACCUGCCUUCUCCAUUUUCCUAUCCGAAAAUCCUCUGCACCUUGUUUGGAUUGGCUGUUGGCCAAGGCAACUGAGGAGCAUUUCCAAAAAGCAGGAAAGGCUCUGAUCAAGGAAUCUGCACUCAGAUACAUAAAACAACCCUGCCUGGCCCAGCCAUCCCCAGACCACCCAGGGCAGUUGGACUCAAAGGGAUCGUCCACUGAUGGUAGAGAUAGUGG